GGGAAUGUAGCUUAGUGGUAGAGUGCUUGUCUAGCAUGCAUGAAGCCCUGGGUUCAAUUCCUCAGCACCA
rnacentral:tRNA from 1 species